rnacentral:lncRNA from 1 species
UUUUCCGGCACUAUCCAACUCCAAAUUUGUCACAUGACUUUGCUCCUAUAGAAUGACAUUGAAGUAUCAAGAAUGCAUAUCAAUCUUUAAUGAAAAAUGAUUUUUCAAGCAGGAACAGCUUCCAUUUAUUUCAAGCCUCAAGGAGCGUUGAGAAAUAAAGUGAAAUUAACAGUCAACAAUUGUACUGACAAAAACAGUACUUUUCAGGCGGUAUUGCCUUGUGAAAAUCACACCAUCCUGUUCCCUUGUAAUUUUUUUGACAAUCCGCUUUGCA